CGCUCCUCGCCUCGCGUCCCCAAAGUCGUUCGCGUCAAAUCUGGCAAAGCGCAACUUUCGCUCAUUUGUCAGCGACCGCUGCUGAGCGUACGUCAGUCGGUAGCUCGGUCGUGUUAAACAAACUAUGCAAAAACGGGCAAUUUUCGUCCAUUUUUCGUGAGCCGCUGCUAGGCAACACGCAGCCGAAGCUCGGUCGAGGCGCGUCGGUACGUCGGCGUGCGAUGCGGGCGCCGCGCCGCGCCGUGCCCCCCGCGGUGCCGGCGAGACCCUCUGCCGGCCUGCCCCGCGCAUCGUGGUCGCGGGGCGUCGCGUCGCUGCUCACCGAGCUUUCAUCCCUUUCAUCGCGGGAAGCCGACCUGAGGCGCCCGGCGGCGCCACCGAGCCCCGGCCCGCCCAUGACGGAUCGCGGGUCGGACGCUCAUUGCCGUGAAAUGACUCAAGUUUUUCAACGCGUCGUCCCCGGGAGGAGAAGGGCGUGGACCUGAGCCCGUGUUUGUCGCCUCGACGCCAUGCGGCCGCCCACAGCUGUCGCCCUGCAAGGGGAGGGGGAAGGGUGGGGGCGCCACCACGGGGAGGAUCCUGGCACGACCCCAGACGACGUCGUCCUCGCCAUGCCCUGGAGGGCCAUCUUCGGACCGACGUCGCCGCCGACCGGGGCCGUGCACAGGAUUCUGGGGGCGCCCUGGCCGUGGCCCCGGGCCUGCUGGUGGGUCAGCAUCGCCCUGCAGGACCGCGCCUUCCUGGCCUGCGAGCUGGCCAUGGCGAAGGCCCCAAGCCGAGCGGCAUCCGACCCACAUCCAGCGGAUCCGGACAUUGACUGAUCAACAGAGUGAUGGGCACGUCACGAGAAACGGGGAGGGAAACGGGCGUCCCGUACUCCAGAGGCAGAGGCCGGCAGAUUACAAAACAUCACAAAAAUUGCAAAAGAAAUAAAACGUGUAGGUCAUUUUA